rnacentral:rRNA from 1 species
UACGUAGGGUGCAAGCGUUGUCCGGAAUUAUUGGGCGUAAAGAGCUCGUAGGCGGUUUGUCGCGUCUGCUGUGAAAUCUGGGGGCUCAACCCCCAGCCUGCAGUGGGUACGGUCAGACUAGAGUGCGGUAGGGGAGAUUGGAAUUCCUGGUGUAGCGGUGGAAUGCGCAGAUAUCAGGAGGAACACCGAUGGCGAAGGCAGAUCUCUGGGCCGUAACUGACGCUGAGGAGCGAAAGCAUGGGGAGCGAACAGG